GUGGGGAAUAUUGGACAAUGGGCGCAAGCCUGAUCCAGCCAUGCCGCGUGAGUGAUGAAGGCCUUAGGGUUGUAAAGCUCUUUCAGUGGGGACGAUAAUGACGGUACCCACAGAAGAAGCCCCGGCUAACUUCGUGCCAGCAGCCGCGGUAAUACGAAGGGGGCUAGCGUUGUUCGGAUUUACUGGGCGUAAAGCGCACGUAGGCGGAUCGUUAAGUCGGGGGUGAAAUCCUGGAGCUCAACUCCAGAACUGCCUUCGAUACUGGCGAUCUUGAGUCCGGAAGAGGUGAGUGGAACUCCUAGUGUAGAGGUUGAAUUCGUAGAUAUUAGGAAGAACACCAGUGGCGAAGGCGGCUCACUGGUCCGGUACUGACGCUGAGGUGCGAAAGCGUUGGGAGCAAACAGGAUUAGAAACCCGAGUAGUCC
rnacentral:rRNA from 1 species